GACACUUUGGCCGAGUGGUUAAGGCGACACCCUGCUAUCUUCUGCUUAGUCAGAAUCAAAGGUGUUGGAAUUUUCCGCGUGUGUUCGAAUCGCACAGGUGUCG